CUUUAAAAUAACUGUGAAAUAGAUAACCAUGUGGACAAUUUUAGCAAAGCGAAAUUAAUCUAAAACCAAAAAAACAUAGUAACUGGAAUUAAGAACUCAAUAGAUAAGUUUAACAGCAUAUAAAACACAAAUAGAAUUAGUAAAAUGAAUGAUAGGUUAGAAGACAACAUCCAGACAGCAACAAGGAGAAAACCGCAGAUAAAUAUGAAAAAGAACAUAAGAGGCAUGGAGACCUGGUGGGAAAGUCUGUGUCUGUCUGACUGGUGUCCUAGAAGAGGAAUAAAGAAAGAACAGAGUAAAAGCACUCUGUGAAAAAAACAAUUACCAAGAAUUUCCUUAAAAGAACAUCGAGUCACAAAAUCCCAAGCAGAAUAAAUUAAAUGGUACCUAGAAACACCAUAAUAAAACUUCAUAAAAGCAAAGACAAAGAUAAAUUCUGAAAAGUACCCAGAUAAGAAAAAAAGUCACAUUAUCUUUAGAAAAGGAAGCAGGAGGAACAACAAUAAAACUGACAGCUGGGUCCUCAAUAAAACCAACAGAAGAGCUAAAAUACAACAAAUGCCACUCAGAAUUAUUUGCCCUAUGGAAAUAUCCUUAUAAAAUGAACACACAACAAGGGAGUGAAUUUGUCACCAACCAGUGGUGUACUGAUAAAUGUUUAACAAAGCGGGAAAGCUCUGUCAGUGUUUGCUGAUUUCUGUGGUGUAAAUACUCCCGCUGUGGCUGAUGUCAGCUGCCAGUGUGACAUCACUGAAUGUAGAGAUGGAACAAGAUGUGCACAAUCAACUCUCAGAAGCUAGUGCAGCACACAAAUGUGACAAAACCAGAGGGAAUUCCUCAGGAAGAAGGAAAUCUAUCCCAUAUUGAAAGCUGAAAUGCAAGAAAGGAUGAGGGGCAACAGAAAGAAUAUAAAUUGUUCCACCAUCUUGAAACAGACCAAGGCGCUUGGGUGAUCCAUUGGCCACAUUUGCCGAAGUUCUUCACAAGAUCUCUAUCCAACUUCACCUUGUCUCUUAGCAUAGAGAUGAGGACGGCCACAGGGUAGUGAAGAGGGCAACAUACACCAUUCUUUCAAGGAGCUCUAAGGUCUCCCACCCACCCCACCUGAACCUGCUGGCCGGCAGUCCAGGCCUGGGCCUCACCAACUCCAGAAUCAUUCACAAGAACAUGGUCACACAGGAGACCUGUGCUCCUUUCUCCAUUCUUCUUCUCUAACGCCAGUCAGCAAACCCACCACCUGAAAAAGCUUCAACUGCCCACGAGGGCCUAGAGGAAAGAGCUUCUUAGGAAUCACCCCCUGCAGUCUGUCGUGGGUGGAUCACCCUACAAUGUCUUAUGCAAAAGGCUAAUUCUACCCCUUCUGGGUGCUUAUCUCAAUGGAGCCCCAAAGCCUUAAGAACCAGAUGGCGUUAACCAAUUUAUGUUCCGGGAAGUGCAGGUCCAGGCUAACCCAUGCGGCUGGUUUCACGGAGGCCCAGAAGGCCCUCUGGUUGAAGAUGGCUGGUCUCUUAACUUCUUUAUCCUGAACCUGGUCUUGGCGGCCAACACCUCUGAGGCCAUUCCCUCUGGGGAGUGGUGGCUGGCUGUUCCUUGUGUUGUCCACUUGUGGAAAACCCAAAGCAGUAACAGUUGUGUUCCUAAGCCCUUGCUCCCCAAAGACCAUGGGUGUUCCUCCAUUGUUUGAAAGAUGCCAGACUAAUGUCUUCCUUCGCCACUUUUGGGAAGACAUGAGAGUAUCCAACGCUGGCCACUACUCAUUAGGACCUGGAGCCAGGUAUCCACUGAGGGUGACGAGAGUACUGGGCGCUGGGCUGGCAUCUGUGUCCUAUGUCCCCAACACCUCAGACUUCCACGUUCUCCU
rnacentral:lncRNA from 1 species